rnacentral:lncRNA from 1 species
ACUGAAUGGCCACAUCUGUCUCUACAUAAUGUAUAUGUGUAUUAUCGAAUCCUGCUAAAAUUCGAUCACGCGCGAUAUAUAUCACUAACAUGGAGUUGUCAUACAAGUAGAAAACGUAUAUUCCACAUGUAAGCAGAAGAAAUAACUGAGAAGGGUGGUGAAUAAACAAGAAGAAAAACAAAAAGACAGAGGGAAUCAAAAGAGGUAGGGAUAGUGAAAGGUCCCUCUCCUUUCAAGAUCUAUACGUAAUAAACACAGAGGAUGAUGACAUAAACUCUUACUAUUAGGUUUUGAAACUGUUGUAUAUUAUUUGUCAGCGAAGGUCAAGCUGGCCUUUAAAGCAACGUACCACUGAGAUAUCUUCAGUUCAGACCCCACUCUUCGGCUUCCUAAUAUUCUAAUAAUUUUAAAUACUGCAUAUGCUUUGGUUUUGUAAGUGAGCUUCUCAAUCAUAUUUCAUCUAUCAUC